rnacentral:lncRNA from 1 species
CAUGCAAUGUGAGAAUGACAUAUAUAAAUUAAUAGAACAUUUGAAACUCUAAAAUUGAAAGAAUAUGGAUACCUUUCGAUACUUUGAACCCUCCCGACUCAACACACCAAUAAAGAACCCUCAUGUCGGCGACCGAUCUCUCCCAUCCAGUACAAAUGAAAAGGAAUGAGUGAUCAAAUAAAGCUGCAGCUAUAACAUUUUGAAAAAUGGUGCCCUUUCGAUUAUGAAAGUGGGAUUUUUGAUCUUAUCAAUCAGUGCAGGUACGUGCAUACCAUCUACCACGUCGAUAGCAUUCUGUAAUGCGAACUAACUAUGUUAGGG